rnacentral:rRNA from 1 species
UCCAGACUCCUACGGGAGGCAGCAGUGAGGAAUAUUGGUCAAUGGGCGCGAGCCUGAACCAGCCAAGUCGCGUGAGGGAAGACGGUCCUAUGGAUUGUAAACCUCUUUUGUCGGGGAGCAAAAGACGCCACGUGUGGCGUUCCGAGAGUACCCGGAGAAAAAGCAUCGGCUAACUCCGUGCCAGCAGCCGCGGUAAUACGGAGGAUGCGAGCGUUAUCCGGAUUUAUUGGGUUUAAAGGGUGCGUAGGCGGCCUUUUAAGUCAGCGGUGAAAGUCUGUGGCUCAACCAUAGAUUUGCCGUUGAAACUGGGGGGCUUGAGUAUUUUUGAGGCAGGCGGAAUGCGUGGUGUAGCGGUAAA